CUACGGGGGGCUCCAGUGGGGAAUAUUGCACAAUGGAGGAAACUCUGAUGCAGCGACGCCGCGUGAGUGAAGAAGUAUUUCGGUAUGUAAAGCUCUAUCAGCAGGGAAGACAGUGACGGUACCUGCAUAAGAAGCUCCGGCUAAAUACGUGCCAGCAGCCGCGGUAAUACGUAUGGAGCAAGCGUUAUCCGGAUUUACUGGGUGUAAAGGGAGUGUAGGUGGCUGCACAAGGCAGAAGUGAAAGCCCGGGGCUCAACCCCGGGACUGCUUUUGAAACUGUGUGGCUGGAGUGCAGGAGAGGUAAGUGGAAUUCCUAGUGUAGCGGUGAAAUGCGUAGAUAUUAGGAGGAACACCAGUGGCGAAGGCGGCUUACUGGACUGUAACUGACACUGAGGCUCGAAAGCGUGGGGAGCAAACAGGAUUAGAUACCCGGGUAGUC
rnacentral:rRNA from 1 species